rnacentral:rRNA from 1 species
UGGAUGCUAUACUGCAGUCGAACGCACAGCGAAAGGUGCUUGCACCUUUCAAGUGAGUGGCGAACGGGUGAGUAACACGUGGACAACCUGCCUCAAGGCUGGGGAUAACAUUUGGAAACAGAUGCUAAUACCGAAUAAAACUUAGUGUCGCAUGACACAAAGUUAAAAGGCGCUUCGGCGUCACCUAGAGAUGGAUCCGCGGUGCAUUAGUUAGUUGGUGGGGUAAAGGCCUACCAAGACAAUGAUGCAUAGCCGAGUUGAGAGACUGAUCGGCCACAUUGGGACUGAGACACGGCCCAAACUCCUACGGGAGGCUGCAGUAGGGAAUCUUCCACAAUGGGCGAAAGCCUGAUGGAGCAACGCCGCGUGUGUGAUGAAGGCUUUCGGGUCGUAAAGCACUGUUGUAUGGGAAGAACAGCUAGAAUAGGAAAUGAUUUUAGUUUGACGGUACCAUACCAGAAAGGGACGGCUAAAUACGUGCCAGCAGCCGCGGUAAUACGUAUGUCCCGAGCGUUAUCCGGAUUUAUUGGGCGUAAAGCGAGCGCAGACGGUUUAUUAAGUCUGAUGUGAAAGCCCGGAGCUCAACUCCGGAAUGGCAUUGGAAACUGGUUAACUUGAGUGCAGUAGAGGUAAGUGGAACUCCAUGUGUAGCGGUGGAAUGCGUAGAUAUAUGGAAGAACACCAGUGGCGAAGGCGGCUUACUGGACUGCAACUGACGUUGAGGCUCGAAAGUGUGGGUAGCAAACAGGAUUAGAUACCCUGGUAGUCCACACCGUAAACGAUGAACACUAGGUGUUAGGAGGUUUCCGCCUCUUAGUGCCGAAGCUAACGCAUUAAGUGUUCCGCCUGGGGAGUACGACCGCAGGUUGAAACUCAAAGGAAUUGACGGGGACCCGCACAAGCGGUGGAGCAUGUGGUUUAAUUCGAAGCAACGCGAAGAACCUUACCAGGUCUUGACAUCCUUUGAAGCUUUUAAAAUAGAAAUGUUUCUCUUCGGAGA